GUGAGGAGAUGGGGACCCUCUCGGACAGUUGCUAGGGGGGCCUUUCUACUUCCAGCAAGCUUCUGUGUAUAUACGCUGCCCUUGGGAACGGGGCUCUGCAUGCCAAGCGGACAGGCGUCCAGUGGUGGCUUCUCCGGGGGCCAUUCCCAGUGCUCCAUGGAGGCCCAGUCAGCUGAAAGAGAAAAGACCCUGCUUGAGUAUUCUGGGCUCCGUGCUGGCCCUGGGCAGAGCUGUGAGGAGGCCCGUCUGGCCCCGUCUGGACAAAGGACACCGCCUGUCUUCCCGCCCCCCGCCCUCCACAUCUUCAUCUUGCUGCCAAACGAAAUGCUGCAUCAUCUGAAGGAGUCUCCAGGAUACUCUGGGAACACAUUUUCCCUAAAACACCGAAAAUAGGCCUUUCUUUUCCCUCCCUGAUUUUACAAGCAAAAGAUUACCUUAGAAAAAUGUGGAAAAUACAGAGAAAUAUGAGAGAAAAUAAAAUACCAGUUUAACACA